AAGCAACACUGUAGCAGAUCGUCAGAACUAUCUGAUGCAAUUUGAGCUCGCUGUUAGCAAGAAAGUCCCACCUAUUCUGGUGCUCUCUCCUCUGAGACAAGCCAUUAUAUAGACUUCACAGU
rnacentral:snoRNA from 1 species